rnacentral:rRNA from 1 species
UGGGGAAUAUUGCACAAUGGGCGCAAGCCUGAUGCAGCCAUGCCGCGUGUAUGAAGAAGGCCUUCGGGUUGUAAAGUACUUUCAGUCGGGAGGAAGGUGGUAAGGUUAAUAACCUUAUCAAUUGACGUUACCGACAGAAGAAGCACCGGCUAACUCCGUGCCAGCAGCCGCGGUAAUACGGAGGGUGCAAGCGUUAAUCGGAAUUACUGGGCGUAAAGCGCACGCAGGCGGUUUGUUAAGUCAGAUGUGAAAUCCCCGGGCUCAACCUGGGAACUGCAUCUGAAACUGGCAAGCUUGAGUCUCGUAGAGGGGGGUAGAAUUCCAGGUGUAGCGGUGAAAUGCGUAGAGAUCUGGAGGAAUACCGGUGGCGAAGGCGGCCCCCUGGACGAAGACUGACGCUCAGGUGCGAAAGCGUGGGGAGCAAACAGG